GUGGUCGUAGCUCAGUUGGUUAGAGCGAUGGAUUGUGGUUCCAUAGGUCGUGGGUUCGAGCCCCAUCUUCCACC
rnacentral:tRNA from 1 species